rnacentral:misc_RNA from 1 species
AAGUCGUAACAAGGUUUCCGUAGGUGAACCUGCGGAAGGAUCAUUACCAAAUCCAAAUUACCCAACCCCUUGUGAACUAUUGUUUAGUCUGUCUUUGGGAAAAAAUAAUUUUUUAAAUUUCAUGUUUAUCAAUUAUUUUUUCCCAAAAGAAUCCGGAGCAUUUCAAGUUUAUUUGGAAUGUACUUGAUUCUUAAAACCUUUAAACCACUUGAUUUAUUGUUGGAAUUUUCUUUUAUAAAUUUUAAUAAAAGACAACUUUUAACGGCGGAUCUCUUGGCUCGUG